UCAAUAUUUCUGGGUAUGAAUUUGCUAAAUAUGAGGAUGGAUAUUUCCUUUGAGUAUGUGUCUCCAAAGUAGAAAAAAAUUGGAGUUAGUUUUGCAUGUGAAGUGAUAAGAGUACUUGUCUAACAGUUAGUCUUGGUAUGGAUGCUUUAAAGUUGUUGGCUAGUGAUAGUGAAAGACAAGUAAUGACAGUCUGCUCGAUUCACUUUGCAAUUUCUUGGCUUGGCGUAAACAAAUUCUUUUACAUGGGGACUAGUGAUUGAAUUAUGUAUUCGUGCUACCAGGUUUAUUUUUGCUUUUGGACUUGAAAAUUGGAGUGUUUAUGUUGAUUGGGAGUGAUAAGAGUUUGAAAAGUUG
rnacentral:misc_RNA from 1 species